UAACAUCCGGAAACGGGUGCUAAUACCGCAUAGUUUUCGUUGAUCGCAUGAUCGGGAAAGGAAAGACGGCCUUUGUGCUGUCGCUUAUGGAUGGACCCCGCGGCGUAUUAGGUUAGUUGGGUGAGGUAAUGGCUCACCAAGACCGAUGAUACGUAGCCGACCUGAGAGGGUGAUCGGCCACAUUGGGACUGAGACACGGCCCAAACUCCUACGGGAGGCAGCAGUAGGGAAUCUUCCGCAAUGGACGAAAGUCUGACGGAGCAACGGCCGCGUGAGUGAAGGAAAGGUUUUCGGAUCGUAAAACUCUGUUGUCAGAGAAGAACAAGGUUGGAGAGUAACUGCUCCAGCCUUGACGGUAUCUGACCAGAAAGCCACGGCUAACUACGUGCCAGCCGCGGC
rnacentral:rRNA from 1 species